rnacentral:rRNA from 1 species
UACGUAGGGGGCAAGCGUUGUCCGGAGUUACUGGCGUAAAGCGCACGCAGGCGGUCUCUUAAGUUUGGAGUGACAGUUGGUGGCUUAACUGCCAAAGUGCUUCGAAAACUGAGAGACUUGAGGGCUUCAGAGGGACACGGAAUUCCGGGUGGAGCGGUGAAAUGCGUAGAGAUCCGGAGGAACACCAAAGGCGAAGGCAGUGUCCUGGGGAGUACCUGACGCUCAGGUGCGAAAGCCAGGGGAGCGAACGGG